AUUGAACGCUGGCGGCAGGCCUAACACAUGCAAGUCGAGCGGAUGAAGGGAGCUUGCUCCUGGAUUCAGCGGCGGACGGGUGAGUAAUGCCUAGGAAUCUGCCUGGUAGUGGGGGAUAACGUCCGGAAGCGGGCGCUAAUACCGCAUACGUCCUGAGGGAGAAAGUGGGGGAUCUUCGGACCUCACGCUAUCAGAUGAGCCUAGGUCGGAUUAGCUAGUUGGUGGGGUAAAGGCCUACCAAGGCGACGAUCCGUAACUGGUCUGAGAGGAUGAUCAGUCACACUGUGACUGAGACACGCUCCACACUCCUCUGCGGGGCGCCAGUGUGGAGUAUUGUACAAUAGGCGAAAGCCUGUUCCAGCCACGCCGCGCGUGUGAGGAGGGUCUUCUGAGUGUGUAGCACUUUAAGUUGGGAGGAAGGGCAGUAAGUUAAUACCUUGCCGUUUUGACGUUACCAACAGAAUAAGCACCGGCUAACUUCGUG
rnacentral:rRNA from 1 species